rnacentral:lncRNA from 1 species
UCAAGAGCCUGCCACCACGUCCUGAACACAUACACAUCAAGCCACCUCGAGCUUCUCGGUCGAUUCGGCCGAUUUCGGCCUUUCCGGUGAAUUUUCGUCCCGCGAUCAAUCCCAAAUAUUUUUAUACGCCCGUUCUGAUGGCCUGAGUAUUUUUAAUAAACCCUACUGGGACUCUGAUCUUGAGGAAAAAUAUUUACCGAGCUUUUGGCUUCUUCGAAAAAUUUCGUAAUACCAAAAUUUAGGGUUUUUCGCCCAAUUUCCGGUCUUCCUGUUGUGCUUCCAAAAGUGUCUUGCUUCAACAUCAUUUGAAUCAAUCUACUACAUUGUCUAACCAUUGUCCAGUGGCAUACUUGACUCAUGGUUCAGACAAGAACAAUAUGAUCAUCCGCGACUCGAUCAUCCAAAAGAUACUCGACCAUUCUUUUUUUUUUUUUUUUUUUUUUAAGGGUUUCUACAGUGGGUGUCCGCCAGCAGACACAGGAUGUCCAUGGCUGUCUGUGGCUGUCCGUCAGCACACACAUGACAUCUGUGGCUGUCCGUGUGUGUCCGUGUGUGUCCGUCAGCAGACACAGGACGUCUGUGGCUGUCCAUCAGUACACAUAUCAGCACGCUGGUCCUUGGACUCAGCACGCUGGCCCUUCCCGUGGACUGUUCGGGUGAUUUUGGCCCACGUGGGCUGUCUGUUCAGUACACACAGGACGUCCGUGGGUGUCCGUCAGCACACACAUGACGUUAUGUGGCUGUCCGUGUGUGUCCUUCAACACACAGAGGACGUCCGUGGUUGUCCAUCAGUACACAUAUCAGCACGUUGGUCCUUGGACUCAGCACGCUGACCCUUCGCUUGGACUGUUCGGGUGAUUUUGGCCUACAUGGGCUGUCUG